UGAGCAAUCUACCCUUCUCUUCGGAAUAAGCGUUGGAAACGACGUCUAAUGCCGAAUACGACCUCCUUUCGCAUGAUCGGAGGUGGAAAGCUCCGGCGGAGAAGGAUGAGCUCGCGGCCUAUCAGCUAGUUGGUGUGGGUAAUGGCCCACCAAGGCGACGACGGGUAGCCGGCCUGAGAGGGUGACCGGCCACACUAGGACUGAGACACGGCCCAGACUCCUACGGGAGCAGNAGGU
rnacentral:rRNA from 1 species